rnacentral:lncRNA from 1 species
GCACUCAAUAUUAAUCAGCUGUAAAUAUGUCUCUAUUUAUGGCCCUAUAAUCAGUAUUUUUAAUUUAAGACUACAUUUCUUGUCUCUGGGACUUGUCUGUACUGCUUUUUCUGUUCUUGAUAUCAUUCAAUGCCAAUAUUUAUAUCAAAAAGAUCUACUUUAUCAAUAAUUUUUUAUGCUUUUAACUUGUUUUGUUAUGCUUUUGGUGUUUUUUCCUGCUUUGGCUCCUUUAUUCUUUUUAUUAUUUACACUUCUUACAAUUUUAUGUCUAAUUGGUUCUAAUUGGCAGGCAGUUGCCCUUUGUGAGAAUGGUCGUCUUGUAUCUGUUGUUACAUUUUUCCUAUAUUCUCUGGUAUAUAUGGCCAAGUUCUUGAAAGUAUGUCCUAUGUACUUUUCUGACCUGUUUAUUUUCCAGUAGGCACUUAUACAGUGAUUUUUCUGUGUUCCUAUAUGACAUUAAAUAAUGUAUUUUUCUGUUAAAGACUAGCUUCUUUCCCAUUUUCUUCUCUCUUGUUUUCUUCAUAUCAAUUAUCAGUCUCUUUAUGUUCACAUUAUAAUAUCCUCUCUUGUUCUGAUCUGUGAUAUUGUCAUGUUCAAACAUUUUUUUCUUAUUCAAUGUGUUUUGCUUUAAUUUUAAUAUCAUGGUCUUUGUGUAGCUAUGGGCUUGAGCCCAUGGCUACACAAGGAGUAUGAUAUUAAAAUUAAAGAAUUUAGUUUCUCAUCUGCCAUUUUUUGUUUAUUACAUUGUGUUUCUAUACAAAACAAAUAUUAUAAAACAUUUUCAGCUUAAAUUUAACCUUCAUCAGUAUAAUAUAACAAGUUAAUAACAGAAAAGCAAAUUUUGAUUUAACUAAAACAAAAACAAUUCUUAAGAAUACAAA